AAGGACACAGCAAUACUAAUGUUAUCCACUUACAAUUCUGAAGUAGGUCACAUAUUUUCAUGUCUGAAUUUACUUACACACCCAACAAUACUUUUCAGGUAUUCCGAACAUUUUACAAAACCUACACUUUUUCUAUAAACAAAAAACAAAUCAAAACAAAAAGUUAAUUUUACUACAUUAUACAGGUCACAGCACCUUGGUCACUAUGCAGUUGUUAUUCAUAGUUGCUGGUCAUAUGUAAGUAGGUCAUUGGACCUACUUGCCCUUUUCAGUAAUCCUGAAAUAUGGUGGCAUACUUGAAAGCCAUACAGAAAUGUGGGGCUCUUCUGAUAAAUCGCUCUAGGAUCAGCUGCUAACUCUUGCAUUCAGGUUGAAAAGUGACAGCUGAGUCCUAUUAGUAGAGAUGGGAAAUGGGAGCGGAGGGGUGGAAGGACAGUUAGCUUCUGCCUCUCCUUGACAUGGCCUACCCCUUUGCUGGCUGAACAAGGAAAAGUUAAGGUGGAGACAAACACCUAAGCAAAAGACUGGAAACAGCAGCACCCUUGCCUGCAAAGGGCAUUUGGGUUGCUAAGAAAUCCAAAGCAUGAGAAAGGGGGAGAUCACCCGAGAAGGCAGAGCUGAAUAUGUUUAUUAUUUUUUAAUUUUUUUUUUUUUUUGCAAAUAAGGUGAAGAAAUACUCACAUACCAAAUCAGAGGGGAAAAUGAACAAGUUUUGCCCUACACUGCUCCCUUCUAGGUGGUAUGUCUGCAGCCUGUGGUGCAGAUCUUCCGUGUACGUAAAUCAAGAUGUUAAUGGGUGGGAUGUCCACCUUAGAUAGAGGCACUCACUCAGCAUCAAUGCUCUUGCUCUGAAGCACUACAGCAGAAAAAACACAUAGCUGGGCAUCACUGCUUUAGGGGACUGGAGCAUAGUCAAUGCUGGCUGUACCUCAACCUAUGUGGUCUCAUCAUGGUUUGCUCUUAACUACAUACAGCCCUUCUCAUCUCUGACAACACCUAAUAAAACAGGAAUGACCAUGUAUAAUGGAUUCAUGGCUCUACUUCGCUUCAGCACUUGGCAUCUUGCAAGUUAUUCCCAACUCAUGAAAAUAACACCUCUGGAUUCACUUCUCUUAACGCAUGAAAUUCAGGGGUCCUUGCACAAAGGGAAUGAAGGAAUUUAACCUCUGAUUGCCCUGCAAGUCUAUGGAGACAGUAGGAAGCCCCUCCAGGGCUGUUACACCAGACAAUUUUCCCAGUGCCAAAGUUCCUGUUUCUCUGGAGAACCACAUAUCCAAUCAGACAAGGACUCCAGCACCAAGUAUACAUCAAGUACCUAAAAUACCAUCUGUGCUUCGGGACAACACCACGCCAGCUCCCGUCAUGUCUGUUGCAGUGGCUGCCACCCUUUGGCAGUGCCAUGACCAGCCCAUGUGCAAUCCUGACCCCUCACAGCACUGCCAAAAGGCAGCUCCCACCCCAACGUGUCUACAAGAGGAAAGACAGCGGGCAGAUUUUGCAAGCAGACACGGGGAGAAUUAGGAAAAAAAUGGCUUCAGUUUAUUAAGGCUGUUCUUAAUUAGAUCAUGCUCUUUUGGCCAGAUAUUUUUAUUUAUUUAUUUAUUAUUUUUUCCUAGUGAUAUUUGUUUAAUACCAUUCUACCAGAGACCAAAAUUCUGUUAUUUUAAAUUACCAACUUAUGUUGGUAAAAUAAAAUAAUGCAGCACGUUUUCCUGUUUGAACACACAGAUUAGCUACUUUUUAUUAUUAUUAUCUAUUUACUUUUAUUAUUUUUUCUCCCCCACACACACCAGAACAAGGUUUUGGUGUAGUCACAGGAUUUACGUGGCUGAAUUACACCUGCUCCUCCUGGCCCCGUUUUCAGGUCCUCCAUGGUUCCACAACCCAGAACAGCAAUCUCACAGCACUGAGAGCAGGCUAGAGAAGUCCAUGCCAUGUAAAGCCACUGCUGCCAAAAUGUCAGUGCACCUUAUGUCCCCAGCCUGCAGGCCAUGCUUGGGGCCACCAGAGAGGUGUGGCAGGACUGGGGCAUGCAUGUGUAGGCAGUGUAGCAGGCUUACAGCUGGGUGCUGCUCCUCAAAGAACAGGGGAAAUGUGGUAAGGCAAACAUCCCUCUGUGCACUAUGAACUUCUCUGCAUGCUGUUUUCUCCAGGGUGGCUUAUUUUUCCCUGUGUUAGCACCAAAUGUUCACUGCAUAUGCUGUAGCUCAGACAGACAGACGAGAUCUUGGAGAUAGGCUUAGGAGUCUGUCAUUCCUGUAAGAGGUACAGCAGAGAUAAAAAGUGUGAAAAGCUUCUGAGCCACGAACUACAAAGUUCUCCUAGCCUGAAAAUUGUAGAACAGGCAGGAACGCCCUGAAGCCCUCAGACAGGUUCGAGAGGAACUUGGUCUGAUUCAGGAGCUCCAACAGAGAGAUGGGCUUCUGCCAGGCUCCGCUUUCGGUCUCAUCUAAAUCCAGGAAAAUCAGAAGAACUGGGA